GAGACUGUGCGGUGGCAGCCAUGGCGGACGGUUGCGAUGAGGCUGCUCCUGGGUCUCGCGGCUAUCCAAGACCAUCGAGGGUCCCCGGCGGCGCCUGCCGUCUGCUGAGGCUGGGUGGACUCCUCUGCGGCAGAUCUCCUGUAAGAUGUGCUGGUAAGUGACGCUGCCGGGGGCCCAGCUCCUCGCUCCCAGAACCGGGCGCGCUGGUCACUGUUACUUCAUGGGGGAAAUUCUUACUGAAUCAACUAGUGACUUGGCCUACGGCUCCCAGGGGUUUUCUGAACUGUAAAAUACAUACCGAGAAUAAUAUUCAAGAAAAGGGGAUUUUGUGUAUAGAUGUGAUCAGCGUCUUUGUAAAAGGAAGGAAGUUAGUCCACUGCUACCGCCACAAUUCCGCCUCUGUCUGCCGGUGCCAAAUUGAAACGCAGACACAGAGUUUGGGGUAAAGGAGGGGAAAAAAAAUAGUUUAAUUGCUUUGCCAGGCAAAGGAGGAUCACAGCAGGUUAAUGCCUUAAAGACUGUCCCUUCCCCCCCACCCCAGUUAGAAAGAAUUGGAAGGAGUUUUAUAGCAAAAAGGAGAAAAACAGGUUUUCAGAGAGGAAUCAGUAUUGGGACAAACAUGCAUUCAUCUUUCUUUGGGUCAGUCUUGGUCAUCAAAGCUGGAGUCGGGAGAUUUUCACAGUGGUGGUUUUCUGGGUUAUUGCCUAGAAUAACAGUACUUGCGAAAGGGCCGUAUUGAUCAGAGAUCAGAACAAGCUUGGAAAGUUCCUGAAAAAACAUCCCGUGCUAAUAAUCUUUAACCCACAGGCCAUUGUGCUCAGGAUGCCUAAUCUUUAGCUUACAGGUGAUUGUGUUUAGGGUGUAACUAAGUCAGGAAGAAGAAUAAGCUGUUAAAUUUCAAAGUAUUCAUUUCAAAAAGAAGCGUAAGGAAUAUGAUUUUUCUCUGAGAGGUAUGAUAAGACUGCCUCUCCCAAGGCUGCUUGUCUUCCUCCCUCAAACAGAAAGGAUUGCUGUGUCCUUCUUACUAUCAAGAGUUGUCGGAGUUCCCGUCGUGGCGCAGUGGUUAACGAAUCCGACUAGGAACCAUGAGGUUGCGGGAGGAAACCCAAGUAGGCCUAAUCCAACCCCAUGAUCUCUCCUCUCAGCUUCUGGUCCCGGCUGGUGCUCAGUACAGCUGAAUGCCCAGGGCUUUAGGGGCUUGAAGGAACGUGGGCUGCAAGCCUCCAGCGUGCUUGGGUCUGCGGUGACCCUGUGCAUUCCUACAGUGCUUGCAAGAAAAUUUUGAGAUGGUUUGAGGCCUUGCCCUGCUUCAUCCAGAGCAAGGUUAUAGAAAUUUCAGACACUGUUUUGCUCCCUUCCCUAUCUGGUGUGCUGGGCACUGUGCAGGUCUGUACCAUCUGAGGCGGUGACCACUUGACACAUUCGGUUAAAUUUAAGAUUCCGUCUUUCGUUCACACUAGCCGCGGUUUAGAUGGAUGCUCAUUAGCCACACUUGGCAAGUGGCUGCUCUGUUGCACCGUGCACAUUAGAGAGCGUUAAUGUCUUUGAAGAAAUUGUUUUGGACUUUGGGUGUUUACCGUGCUCCAGGCUUGUAAAUUUUAUUAUAUCCUUCAAACGAAAGCCUUAGAAAAGUUGAAAAUGGGAGUUCCCUUGAUGGCUUAGUGGUUAAUGAACCCGACUAGUAUCCAAGAGGAUGCAGCUUCAAUCCCUGGCCUUGCUCAGAGGAUUAAGGAUCCUGCGUUGCCGUCAGCUGUGUAAGUUGCAGGCAAAGCUUGGAUCUGGCGGGGCUGUGGUGUAGGCCGGCAGCUGCAGCUCCGUUUGGACCCCUAGCCUGGGAACCUCCGUAUGCCUCGGGCAUGGCCCUAGAAAGAUGUAAAGGAAAAGAAAAUGAAGCUUGAGGGAGUGGUAAAGAUGGAGUUAGACCAGCUAGUAGGAAAUAGAGUGGAAAGGAAUAAUAGGGAUGGGCCAUGCCCUGGGGGAUAUUUACCAUUGGCAGGGAAACCAAAGAGAAGGAAGGGCCAGCCAGGUUCUAUAGCAGGGCCGAGUGUCCCCGGAGCUUACUGGGGGGCGGGGGUCGUUGCACAUUGAUCUUAAAGGAAGAUCUAAUAUAGCAGGGCCGAGUGUCCCCGGAGCUUACGGGGGGGGGGGGGUCGUUGCGCAUAGAUCUUAAAGGAAGAUCUAGUGGGAGAGAAGGGCACUUGUGUCGAUUGAACUCUUGUCUUGCAGACUUAAUUCUUAACCCGCCAGAAGUCUUCAGGGACCACCGUUAGGCCAUCUUAGGUCCAGUACAGGUGGGGGAGCCACGGUCAGGAUUAAGUGUCCAGCGUUGCCUGGCCAGACACUGGAAGGUCAGGAUUGGAUGCCAGGCCGCUCCGACCCUACUGGCUCCACUCCUUUCCCGGAUGCCAGAUUGGAAGGGAGGGGUGGAAUCUAGAGGCAAUGGCUGGUUUGAGUCGGAGGGCAAUGCCAGGAUGGAGUAGGCAGCACAGCUCCUGAGCUCCUGGACGGCGGGGUCACACCACCACCCCUUCUCUCUUGAAGGUUAAGGCUUCUGGCAGAUUCGGGUCAGUCCCAAGUGCGACCGGUCUUCUGGGGCUGCCGUCCGCAGACCCUUCUCGGUGAGUCACGCUUCUGCAGUCCUGGGGGCAAGUUAACCCUUUGACUUUCUUUUCAAAAACGUUCAAAUAGCAGAGAGCCUUUGGAUGUCUGCGCUAGUCUCUCCAGAGCAGAGAGCACGUGUGGCCACUGUGUGUGUGACUUGACUUUCCUGCGCUCGGAGUACCUCUUUUCUUUCCUUCUUUCCUUCCGUCUCCCCCUCUCUCUCUGUCUCUCCCUCUCCCUCUCCCCAUGGCAUACGGAAGUUCCCAGGCCAGGGGUACAAGCUGUGCCUCCAGUGACCUGAGCCCGGCUUCUUAGCCCGCUGCGUGUGCUGGUGCCUUCUGGCUCCCCUUGUCUCCCUGUAAGACAUGGGGCUGGUGGGAAGUGCUGAUGUUGUGGCCGCUGCUGUUGUGAAUAAUCGACUGGCUUUGCCCGUGUCUCCUUUCAGCAUCCACGUACCUGGCGGCCUCCCUCAUCGCGUGCUGUUGGUAGGGGGGCGAGUCAGGCCCUGUACACGUCCUGACAGGCACCCGGCCCACCCCCAGCCAACUGUGCGCUGUGUUCCUGCCCCAGCACGAGACCUGUGGGGUGUCCGCGGCAGAAGAUGUCAGAGCUGGAAGAGACCUGAGAGGCGAUCCCCUUGGUGGGUGAUGGUUCUUCCGGGAAUCUGGUGGUAAGUGUCGGGGAGGGUCUGGCCUGGUGGGUCCCUUCACUUCCUUUUGAGUGUUGAUUUUCUGUAAGUCCCUCUGUCCAGGAGUUCAAAACCACCCGCUUACCCUACCUUCCCAUGUUGCCUAUCAGGUGAUGGAGUCCCAGAAAGCGUAACUGUCUGCCAGCUCACGAGGCCGUUUUGUGCAGAUAGUUUGAUUACCUCUGUGGUUGGGAUUCAACUUGUCGCCUUUUCCCCGGGAAUCUCCAGAUGAGCGGUGUGUCAGCCUGGAAAAGGUGGGCUCCUGCCGCAUCCCUGUGGCAGAGGCCUCUUAGCUCUCUGCAGUCAGGAGUGGGAGCCCAGGUUCACGCCCAUUUAUUGCCGCUUGCUCUCAAUUGGCAUUUGUUACAAUCUCUUGUUUAUGUUGUUACAUCACUUAAUUGUAACAGCAGGCCUCGGAGUUGUUUCCAGUUUCCUGGUUUUUAGAGACGAGGAAGUGGGAGCCGAGGGUGUGACCUGCUGCACUGACACCCCAGGCCUUUGGGCCUCUUCUCUAGGCAGGAUCAAAUCCUUGCUCUCUUUCCAGGAGGCUGGGAGUUCUGGUUCUCGGCCCAGGCUGGGGGGGAAGGCCUCCAGGCCACGUGUGCAUGUCUGACCAACAUUCUCUGACGCCAGGUUUGCGCGCCUUGUCGUCUGCUUCCAGAACAAGGAUCUUCGCUGUACGCCAAGACCCAGAUCCCUCUGACAUCGGAAUGACAAGUGGGAUAUUUAAUAAAACAGUUUCAAAUUUG
rnacentral:lncRNA from 1 species